rnacentral:rRNA from 1 species
GAUGAACGCUGGCGGCGUGCUUAACACAUGCAAGUCGAACGGAAAGGCUCCUGCUUGCAGGGGUACUCGAGUGGCGAACGGGUGAGUAACACGUGGGUGAUCUGCCCUGCACUUCGGGAUAAGCCUGGGAAACUGGGUCUAAUACCGGAUAGGACCACAUUUUGGAUGGUGUGGUGGAAAGUUUUUCGGUGUGGGAUGAGCUCGCGGCCUAUCAGCUUGUUGGUGGGGUAAUGGCCUACCAAGGCGUCGACGGGUAGCCGGCCUGAGAGGGUGUACGGCCACAUUGGAACUGAGAUACGGCCCAGACUCCUACGGGAGGCAGCAGUGGGGAAUAUUGCACAAUGGGCGAAAGCCUGAUGCAGCGACGCGGCGUGGGGGAUGACGGCCUUCGGGUUGUAAACUCCUUUCGCUAGGGACGAAGCGUUUUUGUGACGGUACCUGGAGAAGAAGCACCGGCUAACUACGUG